UACGUAGGUGGCAAGCGUUAUCCGGAAUUAGUGGGCGUAAAGCGCGCGUAGGCGGUUUUUUAAGUCUGAUGUGAAAGCCCACGGCUCAACCGUGGAGGGUCAUUGGAAACUGGAAAACUUGAGUGCAGAAGAGGAAAGUGGAAUUCCAUGUGUAGCGGUGAAAUGCGCAGAGAUAUGGAGGAACACCAGUGGCGAAGGCGACUUUCUNGGUCUGUAACUGACGCUGAUGUGCGAAAGCGUGGGGAUCAAACAGGAU
rnacentral:rRNA from 1 species